rnacentral:rRNA from 1 species
AUUGAACGCUGGCGGCAGGCUUAACACAUGCAAGUCGAGCGAGCGGCGGACGGGUGAGUAAUGUCCGGGACACUGCCUGAUGGAGGGGGAUAACUACUGGAAACGGUAGCUAAUACCGCAUACCAUCAGAUGUGCCCAGAUGGGAUUAGCUAGUAGGUGGGGUAAUGGCUCACCUAGGCGACGCUCCCUCGCUGGUCUGAGAGGAUGACAAGCCACAGUGGAACUGAGACACGGGCCAGACUCCUGCGUGAGGGAGCAGUGGGGAAUGUUGCACAGUGGGCGGAAGGCUGAUACAGCCAUGCCGCGGGUGUGAAGAAGGCCUUCGGGUGGGAAAGAACUUUCAGCGAGGGGGCGUUACUCGCAGAAGAAGCACCGGCUAACUCCGUGCCAGCAGCCGCGGUAAUUC